rnacentral:rRNA from 1 species
AUAUCAUUGAGCGGAGGACAAGAAAACAACUGUGAUUCCCUGAGUAACUGCGAGUGAAUAGGGAAAAGCCUAUGCUUGAAUCCGGUGUGGAUGGAAUCGGAAACGCCGGAAUUGUAGUGCAAGGGUGUUGAGCGAGGCGAACCAGUCGGAAGAAUCGCUCAGGAACGAGCAACCAAUGAGGGCUAUCGUCCCGUCCCCUCCGACGCGGUCGUCUCACAUGCUCUUCUCCCCAAGAGUCGGGCAGUUUGAGAAUGCUGUCCAAAACCGCAGGUGUACUCCUGCGAAGGCUAAAUAUUUCACCAAGACCGAUAGCGAACAAGUAGUGUGAACGAAAGAUGAAAAGUACUUUGAAAAGAGAGUGAAAAGUCCUUGACAUUGUUGGGCGCAAAGGGUAUGAGACCCAUUGUAUGCUUCUGCUUUUCAGCGUGAGCCGUCAACGCGAGUUUCCGGCUUCUGCAGGUUAUGCUCUGCUUCCUCGCUUCGGCGGGUGAGAGACAUUUCUGUUGCAGUAAGUUGGCGACUUGGCAGAGUCUUUGAGCCGACAGUAUUUGAUUUUG